ACUCCGGAAUAGCCUUUCGAAAGAAAGAUUAAUACCGGAUAGCAUACGAAUAUCGCAUGAUAUUUUUAUUAAAGAAUUUCGGUUAUCGAUGGGGAUGCGUUCCAUUAGUUUGUUGGCGGGGUAACGGCCCACCAAGACUACGAUGGAUAGGGGUUCUGAGAGGAAGGUCCCCCACAUUGGAACUGAGACACGGUCCAAACUCCUACGGGAGGCAGCAGUGAGGAAUAUUGGUCAAUGGGCGCGAGCCUGAACCAGCCAAGUAGCGUGAAGGAUGAAGGCUCUAUGGGUCGUAAACUUCUUUUAUAUGGGAAUAAAGUUUUCCACGUGUGGAAUUUUGUAUGUACCAUAUGAAUAAGGAUCGGCUAACUCCGUGCCAGCAGCCGCGGUAAUACGGAGGAUCCGAGCGUUAUCCGGAUUUAUUGGGUUUAAAGGGAGCGUAGGUGGAUUGUUAAGUCAGUUGUGAAAGUUUGCGGCUCAACCGUAAAAUUGCAGUUGAAACUGGGAGUCUUGAGUACAGUAGAGGUGGGCGGAAUUCGUGGUGUAGCGGUGAAAUGCUUAGAUAUCACGAAGAACUCCGAUUGCGAAGGCAGCUCACUAGACUGUCACUGACACCGAUGCUCGAAAGUGUGGGUAUCAAACAGGAUUAGAUACCCUGGUAGUCCACACAGUAAACGA
rnacentral:rRNA from 1 species